rnacentral:rRNA from 1 species
AUUGAACGCUGGCGGCAGGCCUAACACAUGCAAGUCGAGCGGUAGCACAGAGAGCUUGCUCUCGGGUGACGAGCGGCGGACGGGUGAGUAAUGUCUGGGAAACUGCCUGAUGGAGGGGGAUAACUACUGGAAACGGUAGCUAAUACCGCAUAACGUCGCAAGACCAAAGUGGGGGACCUUCGGGCCUCAUGCCAUCAGAUGUGCCCAGAUGGGAUUAGCUAGUAGGUGGGGUAACGGCUCACCUAGACGACGAUCCCUAGCUGGUCUGAGAGGAUGACCAGCCACACUGGAACUGAGACACGGUCCAGACUCCUACGGGAGGCAUCAGUGGGGAAUAUUGCACAAUGGGCGAAAGCCUGAUGCAGCCAUGCCGCGUGUGUGAAGAAGGCCUUCGGGUUGUAAAGCACUUUCAGCGGGGAGGAAGGCGGUGAGGUUAAUAACCUCAUCGAUUGACGUUACCCGCAGAAGAAGCACCGGCUAACUCCGUGCCAGCAGCCGCCGUAA